AUAAGGUUUGAGCUUCUUCCCUGUCUACAACUGCUGUGGUUGACCACUGCAAUUCUUUGGAGGACAGAUACCAGGAGGGUGUCUUGUCCCCUCUGCACCAAGCCAGGACAACAGAAUUGUUACAUAACCUGAAAUGCGGGAGAUGAAUGUGAAGACACUUGAAGGGGCCAUUCACACCUCACAGGAGAACAUCACCACACAAAUAUCUACAUGGCCUCCCGGAUUAGAACCGGAACUAAAUUUUUGCAA